rnacentral:rRNA from 1 species
ACGUGAGUAACCUGCCCCUCACUCUGGGAUAAUCCUGGGAAACUGGGUCUAAUACUGGAUACGACCGAUCUCCGCAUGGAGUGUUGGUGGAAAGUUUUUGUGGUGGGGGAUGGACUCGCGGCCUAUCAGCUUGUUGGUGGGGUAAUGGCCUACCAAGGCGACGACGGGUAGCCGGCCUGAGAGGGCGACCGGCCACACUGGGACUGAGACACGGCCCAGACUCCUACGGGAGGCAGCAGUGGGGAAUAUUGCACAAUGGGCGAAAGCCUGAUGCAGCGACGCCGCGUGAGGGAUGACGGCCUUCGGGUUGUAAACCUCUUUCACCAGGGACGAAGCUAACGUGACGGUACCUGGAGAAGAAGCACCGGCUAACUACGUGCCAGCAGCCGCGGUAAUACGUAGGGUGCGAGCGUUGUCCGGAAUUAUUGGGCGUAAAGAGCUUGUAGGCGGUUUGUCGCGUCUGCUGUGAAAGACCGGGGUCUUAACUCCGGUUCUGCAGUGGGUACGGGCAGACUAGAGUGUGGUAGGGGAGACUGGGAAUUCCUGGUGUAGCGGGUGAAAUGCGCAGAUAUCAGGAGGAACACCGAUGGCGAAGGGCAGUGUCUCUGGGCUCAUUUACUGACGCUGAAAAGCCGAAAGCAUUGGGGGAGCGAACAGGGAUUAGAAUACCCCUGGGUAGUCCAUGCCCGUUAA